GACAAAGCACUUCGGCAACAGAUAGUUGUGUAAAUAGAUAUUGAAAAAUAAAGGCAUCGUGGUUUUUGAAGGUCAUUGUGUACUGAAACGAAACAAAACAAAAACCAUUUCCACGGACAUGUAGCAUUUGCAUUUGUUUGUAUGAUAAGCAGGGGAAUAAAAUACGAUUAAAAUGGACGUGAAAUAAUCUAUAUAUGCUACUUCUGUUUUGAAGUCGCAGUUUCGAUAUUACAAAAAUGUUUAGUAAAAAAAAAUCAGGUGCGGUUUCAAACUCUCCUUUGUCAAGCUCCUACGUGGCGGUUUCAAGCCUCCCCUUCUUGGGAGGCAGACGGACAAAGACUAAAAUAGUAAUGAGUCAAGGAAAAGCAAUGUCUGAAUGUUAAAGCGAAAAUGGGUUUCCACUGAACAUUAUACUCACCAUUUAAACCCCAAUGAAAGAGGCGCAAUUUUGGAAAACCUUUUGACACUGGAUUGCUUCAUUUUUUGCCAGAGGAUCAGCAGGAAAAGGGGGAAAAGGUCUGAAGAUGGCGGUGGGUUGUUGUGGCGAGGAAAAUUAUAGCAACAUGGACGCUGACGGCUGACUGAAUAGAAUGCGGGGAGAUAGGAAUGAUCUUAAAAGCUGCAAUGAAUGACGACUUUCCUCAGCUCUCGUGUUUUUGCCACUUUCGAUUCUUUAUUGAACAUUGCAAACAAACAAGCAUUACAAAAGCAAUGUUGUGGUCCAACGCCAUUCUUCCAAAUCCUGCCAAAUCGCGAGGACGACAGAUUUUGGAUUCAGAUGUUUGCCUCCCAGAAAACAUAUCGAACAUUGCCACGUUCUCUUGUCUUCAAAGACAUUUUUCUUUUCAGAUGACAAGCACUUCCGAUUUAUGAUGGGAGACCCAUGGAUAUGUUGUCAACAUCGAUUACUGAAGGACAUAACAUUUUGGUGUGAUCCUGGGCUAGAGGCCUCGCAACAACCUGUGGAUUGAUGGCAAAUUGGAAGCUGGUGAUUGCGUAAGUGCAGUGUUUCAUUUACCAUGCUCAAGGGGAAAGUGUCUGUUUAAACAGCAGCUUUAGACAAGUGGAAAGCAGACUGUAUGGAAAAAUAACACUACCUUGCCAUCUAACAGAAGCAGUCUACCAGAAUUACAGAAAGAGCUUUUCCUCUAUUAAUGAUUGUCUCUUCUAACAUGAACCACUAUACAUAAAAGGGAGAGAGGCAUUUCAAAUGAACACUACUGUGAUUGUCAUUAAUACAACUGUAUAUAUAUAUGUCUUUUUUUAACUAAUACAACUGUAUUUUGUCUUUUUCAGAAAUAAAGGGUUAAAAUAUAACUGUGGAAAGUUCCAUGCAGAUUUACUUUCUACCAUUUUAUUUGCACACAAAUUUACUCCCAGCUCAGCUUUA